UAAGGCUGAGACACGACGUCGAGCACCUACGGGUGUGAAGUCAUUGAUGCCAUGCUUCCAGGAAAAGCCUCUAAGCUUCAGAUUGUAAGGAAUCGUACCCCAAACCGACACAGGUGGUCGGGUAGAGAAUACCAAGGCGCUUGAGAGAACUCGGGUGAAGGAACUAGGCAAAAUGGUACCGUAACUUCGGGAGAAGGUACGCUCUCGACGGUGAAGUCCCUCGCGGAUGGAGCUAUUGAG
rnacentral:rRNA from 1 species